rnacentral:rRNA from 1 species
UCGAGCGAACAAACGAGGAGCUUGCUCCUCUGACGUUAGCGGGGGACGGAUGAGUAACACGGUGGAUAACCCACCUAUAAGACUGGGAUAACUUCGGGAAACCGGAGCUAAUACCGGAUAACAUGUUGAACCGCAUGGUUCAACAGUGAAAGACGGUCUUGCUGUCACUUAUAGAUGGAUCCGCUCUGCAUUAUCUAUUUGGUAAGGUAACGACUUACCAAGGCAACGAUGCGUACCCGACCUAAGAGGGUGAUCGGCCACGCUGGAACUGAGACACGGUCCACACUCCUACGGGAGGCAGCAGUAGGGAAUCUUCCGCAGUGGGCGAAAGCCUGACAGAGCAACCCCGCGUGAGUGAAAAAGGUCUUCAGAUCGUAAAACUCUGUUAUUAGGGAAAAACAAAUGUGUAAGUAACUAUGCACGUCUUGACGGUACCUAAUCAGAAAGCCACGGCUAACUACGUGCCAGCAGCCGCGGUAAUACGUAGGUGGCAAGCGUUAUCCGGAAUUAUUGGGCGUAAAGCGCGCGUAGGCGGUUUUUUAAGUCUGAUGUGAAAGCCCACGGCUCAACCGUGGAGGGUCAUUGGAAACUGGAAAACUUGAGUGCAAAAAAGAAAGUGGAAUUCCGUGUGUAGCGGUGAAAUGCGCAGAUAUAUGGAGGAACACCAGUGGCGAAGGCGACUUUCUGGUCUGUAACUGACGCUGAUGCGC